AUAGGGAACGUGAGCUGGGUUUAGACGCGUCGAGACAGGUUAGUUUUACCUACUGAUGACAGUGUCGAAUAGUAAUUCAACUAGUACGAGAGGAACGUUGAUUCGCAAUUGGUCAUCGCGCUUGUUGAAAAGCCAGUGGCGCGAAGCUACCGUGCGUUGGAUUAUGACUGAACGCUCUAAGUCAGAAUCCGGGCUAGACGACGCAUGCGCUCGUCGCCCGUUGCCGACCCGCAGUAGGGCCAUUUGGCCAAGGGCACGUGUCGUUGCUAAGCGUCGUGGCGGAAGGGUCACGGUGGCCGCCUUGAAUUACAAUUCCGAUCGAGCGGCGAGCUGAAUCUUUGGCAGACGAUUAAAUACGCGACGGGGUAUUGUAAGGGGUAGAGUGGCCUUGCUGCACGAUCCUCUGAGAUUCAGCCUUUGUCGCUGCCGAUUCGU
rnacentral:ncRNA from 1 species